rnacentral:rRNA from 1 species
GAUGAACGCUGGCGGCGUGCCUAAUACAUGCAAGUCGAGCGAACAGACGAGGAGCUUGCUCCUCUGACGUUAGCGGCGGACGGGUGAGUAACACGUGGAUAACCUACCUAUAAGACUGGGAUAACUUCGGGAAACCGGAGCUAAUACUGGAUAAUAUAUUGAACCGCAUGGUUCAAUAGUGAAAGACGGUUUUGCUGUCACUUUUAGAUGGAUCCGCGUUGCAUUAGCUAGUUGGUAAGGUAACGGCACACCAAGGCAACGAGGCGUAGCCGACCGGAGAGGAUGAUCAGCCACACUGGAACUGAGACACGGUCCAGACUCCGACGGGAGGCAGCAGGGGGGAAUAUUGGAGAAUGGGCGCAAGCCUGAUCAAGCAAUACAGCGGGGGUGAAGAAGGCCUUCGGGUUGUAAAGCCCUUUUGUUGGGAAAGAAAAGAAGCAGGUUAAUACCCCGCUGUUCUGACGGUACCCAAAGAAUAAGCACCGGCUAACUUCGUG